AUGUACAUACUUACAACAUAGCAUUAAUGCACUGGAUCCCAUUAGAACUCCGUAGUUAAGCGUGCUCGGGCUAGAGUAGUACUGGGAUGGGAGACCACCUAGGAAUUCCUAGUGUUUUACAUG
rfam:Picea glauca, whole genome shotgun sequence.